UAUGGCCGUAUUAUGUCUCGAAUUUAGGACGUGAUAUUUUAUAGUUUCAAAGCUUAGGUUAUGAUCAUUGGAGAUUAUGAUAUAAAUGAUUAGGAUAUGAUAGAAUAAUAUCAGAGCUUAGGUUUAAGAUCAUUGAGAUUAUAAAGUGAUAUCAAAACUUUAUGUAUGAUCAAUAGGAUGUGACAGAGUGGAGUAUGAUGGAUAAUAUCAGAGCUUAAGAUUAUGAUCAUUAAGGACGUGAUAGAAUGAUAUAAAGUUUAGGUUAUGAU
rnacentral:lncRNA from 1 species